rnacentral:rRNA from 1 species
UAGUUGGUGGGGUAAUGGCCUACCAAGGCGACGAUCAGUAGCGGGUCUGAGAGGAUGAUCCGCCACACUGGAACUGAGACACGGUCCAGACUCCUACGGGAGGCAGCAGUGGGGAAUUUUGGACAAUGGGGGCAACCCUGAUCCAGCCAUUCCGCGUGAGUGAAGAAGGCCUUCGGGUUGUAAAGCUCUUUCAGCCGGAACGAAACGGUAUUCCUUAAUACGGGGUGCUAAUGACGGUACCGGCAGAAGAAGCACCGGCUAACUACGUGCCAGCAGCCGCGGUAAUACGUAGGGUGCGAGCGUUAAUCGGAAUUACUGGGCGUAAAGCGUGCGCAGGCGGAUUGUUAAGCAAGAUGCGAAAUCCCCGGGCUUAGCCUGGGAAUGGCAUUUUGAACUGGCAGUCUAGAGUGUGUCAGAGGGGGGUGGAAUUCCACGUGUGGCAGUGAAAUGCGUAGAUAUGUGGAGGAACACCGAUGGCGAAGGCAGCCCCCUGGGAUAACACUGACGCUCAUGUACGAAAGCGUGGGUAGCAAACAGGAUUAGAUACCCUGGUAGUCCACGCCCUAAACGAUGUCAACUGGUUGUUGGGGGAGUGAAAUCCCUUAGUAACGAAGCUAACGCGUGAAGUUGACCGCCUGGGGGAGUACGGUCGCAAGAUUAAAACUCAAAGGAAUUGACGGGGACCCGCACAAGCGGUGGAUGAUGUGGAUUAAUUCGAUGCAACGCGAAAAACCUUACCUACCCUUGACAUGUCCAGAAUCCUGCAGAGAUGCGGGAGUGCCCGAAAGGGAAUUGGAACACAGGUGCUGCAUGGCUGUCGUCAGCUCGUGUCGUGAGAUGUUGGGUUAAGUCCCGCAACGAGCGCAACCCUUAUCAUUAGUUGCUACGCAAGGGCACUCUAAUGAGACUGCCGG